AAUGAACGCUGGCGGCAGGCCUAAAACAUGCAAGUCGAACGCUCUAGCAAUAGAGAGUGGCGCACGGGUGAGUAACACGUGGGAAUAUGCCUUUUGGUACGGAACAACGUCUGGAAACGGACGCUAAUACCGUAUGGUCCCUCCGGGGUAAAGAUUUAUCGCCAAAAGAUUAGCCCGCGUCUGAUUAGCUAGUUGGUGAGGUAAUGGCUCACCAAGGCGACGAUCAGUAGCUGGUCUGAGAGGACGAUCAGCCACACUGGGACUGAGACACGGCCCAGACUCCUACGGGAGGCAGCAGUUAGGAAUAUUGGACAAUGGGCGCAAGCCUGAUCCAGCCAUGCCGCGUGAGUGACGAAGGCCUUCGGGUUGUAAAGCUCUUUAGUCCACGAAUAUAAUGACUGUAGUGGAAGAAUAAGCCCCGGCUAACUUCGUGCCAGCCGCCGCCGUAAGAC
rnacentral:rRNA from 1 species